CAUAUCACGUUGAAACAUCGGUUUCCGUACGAUUACCGAAGUUAAACAACGUCGAGCCUGGCCAGUACUUAGAUGGGUGACCGCUUGGGAAUAGCAGGUACUGUAAG